rnacentral:rRNA from 1 species
GAUGAACGCUGGCGGCGUGCCUAAUACAUGCAAGUCGAGCGAACGGACGAGAAGCUUGCUUCUCUGAUGUUAGCGGCGGACGGGUGAGUAACACGUGGAUAACCUACCUAUAAGACUGGGAUAACUUCGGGACACCGGAGCUAAUACCGGAUGAUAUUUUGAACCGCAUGGUUCAAUAGUGAAAGACGGUCUUGCUGUCACUUAUAGAUGGUUCCGCGCUGCAUUAGCUAGUUGGUAAGGUAACGGCUUACCAAGGCAACGAUGCAUAGCCGACCUGAGAGGGUGAUCGGCCACACUGGAACUGAGACACGGUCCAGACUCCUACGGGAGGCAGCAGUAGGGAAUCUUCCGCAAUGGGCGAAAGCCUGACGGAGCAACGCCGCGUGAGUGAUGAAGGUCUUCGGAUCGUAAAACUCUGUUAUUAGGGAAGAACAUAUGUGUAAGUAACUGUGCACAUCGUGACGGUACCUAAUCAGAAAGCCACGGCUAACUACGUG